rnacentral:rRNA from 1 species
CCUCUUGCAAGACCAAUGAAUAAGAGGUCCCGCCUGCCCUGUGACUAUACGUUUAACGGCCGCGGUAUUUUGACCGUGCGAAGGUAGCGCAAUCACUUGUCUUUUAAAUGAAGACCUGUAUGAAUGGCAUCACGAGGGCUUAGCUGUCUCCCCCUCCCAGUCAAUGAAAUUGAUCUCCCCGUGCAGAAGCGGGGAUAAAGACAUAAGACGAGAAGACCCUAUGGAGCUUAAGACGCCAGGCCUGCUCACGUUAAACACCCUCUCACAAGAGAGAUAAACCGAGUGAACCCUGCUCUAGUGUCUUUGGUUGGGGCGACCGCGGGGAAAAAUUUAACCCCCAUGUGGAACGGGAACACUAUGUUCCUUAAUCCGAGAGCUCCCGCUCUAAUAAACAGAACUUCUGACCAACAAGAUCCGCAACGCCGAUCAACGGACCGAGUUACCCUAGGGAUAACAGCGCAAUCCUCUUAAAGAGCCCUUAUCGACAAGGGGGUUUACGACCUCGAUGUUGGAUCAGGACAUCCUAAUGGUGCAGCCGCUAUUAAGGGUUCGUUUGUUCAACGAUUAAAGUCAU